rnacentral:rRNA from 1 species
CGGGGUGAGUAAUGUCUGGGAAACUGCCCGAUGGAGGGGGAUAACUACUGGAAACGGUAGCUAAUAUCGCAUAAUGUCUGCGGACCAAAGAGGGGGACCUUCGGGCCUCUUGCCAUCGGAUGUGCCCAGAUGGGAUUAGCUAGUAGGUGGGGUAACGGCUCACCUAGGCGACGAUCCCUAGCUGGUCUGAGAGGAUGACCAGCCACACUGGAACUGAGACACGGCCCAG